AUUGAACGCUGGCGGCAGGCCUAACACAUGCAAGUCGAACGAGUGGCGGACGGGUGAGUAAUGUCUGGGAAACUGCCUGAUGGAGGGGGAUAACUACUGGAAACGGUAGCUAAUACCGCAUACCAUCGGAUGUGCCCAGAGGGGAUUAGCUAGUAGGUGGGGUAAAGGCUCACCUAGGCGAAGAUCCCUAGCUGGUCUGAGAGGAUGACCAGCCACACGGGAACUGAGACACGGUCCAGACUCCUACGGGAGGCCGCAUUGGGGAAUAUUGAACAAUGGGCUCAAGCCUGAUACAGCCAUGCCGCGUGUAUGAAGAAGUCCUUCGGUUUGUAAAGUACUUUCAGCGGGGAGGCGUGACCCGCAGAAGAAGCACCGGCUAACUCCGUGCCAGCAGCCGCGGUAAUUC
rnacentral:rRNA from 1 species